GUAGGUAAGCAUGACUCUAUAUGGCGAACGCUCAGCUGCAAACCAAUUCGCACGGAAUUCGUGCAAAUAUUUUCGAGAACUCAUCAUACGUGAUGUGUCUCAAAAAUCUGAACGGUCCAUGUGAAGUAGCACCUCAUGAAACCCCGUGGGCCCAAUUUUUACUUUGAUCCAAAACUUCGGUGGGCAAUGAAAAAUGAAAACAGUUUCCUCCCUCUAUUUGCAUUUCUCUUUGCUAUGGCCCACCAGAAUUUUAGAUUAGGGUGAAAUUUUUUCCCUUGGGGUUUCAUGGGUUUCUGCGUCACAUGGAUGGUUCGGAUUAGACACCCAUGACACAUGUGCAAAGGUGCGCACAUGCGUUGGUGCGCACAUGAGCAUGACUCUAUAUGUCGAAUGCUCAGCUGUGUACCAGUUAGCAGAAACUCGUGCGAACUUUUUUGAGAACUCAUCAUACGUGAUGUGACUCGAAAAUCUGAACGGUCCACUUGAAGUACCACCUCAUGAAACCCCAUGAGCCCAAUUUUUGCAUUGAUCCAAAACUUUAGUGGCCAAUGAAAAAUGAAAGUAGUUUCCUCCCUCGAUUUGCAUUUCUCUUUGCCAUGGCCCACUAGAAUAUUAAAUCAGGGUGAAAUUUUUUCCUUUGGGGUUUCAUGGGUUUUCGCAUCACAUGGACGGUUCGGAUUAGACGCCCAUGCCACGUGUGCAAAGGUGUGCACGUGAGCAUGACUCUAUAUGUCGAAUGCUCAGCUACGUACCAGUUAGCGAGAACUCGUGUGAACUUUUUUGAGAACUCAUCAUACGUGAUGUGACUCAAAAAUCUAUACGGUCCAUGUGAAGAAGCACCGCAUGAAACCCCCUUGGCCCAAUUUAUACUUUGAUCCAAAACUUUGGUGGGCAAUGAUAAAUGAAAACAGUUUCCUCCCUUGAUUUGUAUUUCUCUUUGCUAAGGCCCACCAGAAUUUUAGAUCAAGGUGAAAAUUUUUCCCUAGAGGUUUCAUGGGAUUCCGCAUCACAUGGACGGUUCGGAUGAGACGCCCAUGACAUGUGUGAAAAGGUGCGAACGUGCGUAGGUGAGCAUGACUCUAUAUGCCGAAUGCUCAGCUACACACCAGUUCGCAUGUGCGAACUUUUUUGAGAACUCAUCAUACGUGAAGUGACUCCAAAAUUUGAACAGUCCACGUGAAGCACCACCUCAUGAAACUCCCUGAGCCCAAUUUUUACUUUGAUCCAAAACUAUGGUGCGCCAUGAAAAAUGAAAACAGUUUCCUCCCUUAAUUUACAUUUCUCUUUGUUAUGGCCCACCAGAGUUUAAGAUCAGGGUGAAAAUUUUUUCCCUUGGGGUUUUAGCGGAUACUGCAUCGCAUGGACCGUUCGGAUUAGAUGCCUAUGACACGUGUGCAAAGGUGCGCACGUGCGUAGGUGAACAUAGAUGCAUACAUGCAAAAGGCACACCCAGUGGAUGUCAGCAGGGUGUUUAUCAUUUACUUGUAACUGACAUAGGCACCAAAAGAUAAAUUUUAGCCCUUUAGACAGUCUAGUUAUAUUUCCAUGUAUUGGCACUACAAGAAAAA